rnacentral:rRNA from 1 species
GAUGAACGCUGGCGGCGUGCCUAAUACAUGCAAGUCGAGCGAACAGAUAAGGAGCUUGCUCCUUUGACGUUAGCGGCGGACGGGUGAGUAACACGUGGGUAACCUACCUAUAAGACUGGAAUAACUCCGGGAAACCGGGGCUAAUGCCGGAUAACAUUUAGAACCGCAUGGUUCUAAAGUGAAAGAUGGUUUUGCUGUCACUUAUAGAUGGAUCCGCGCCGUAUUAGCUAGUUGGUAAGGUAACGGCUUACCAAGGCAACGAUACGUAGCCGACCUGAGAGGGUGAUCGGCCACACUGGAACUGAGACACGGUCCAGACUCCUACGGGAGGCAGCAGUAGGGAAUCUUCCGCAAUGGGCGAAAGCCUGACGGAGCAACGCCGCGUGAGUGAUGAAGGUCUUCGGAUCGCAAAACUCUGUUAUUAGGGAAGAACAAAUGUGUAAGUAACUGUGCACGUCUUGACGGUACCUAAUCAGAAAGCCACGGCUAACUACGUG